rnacentral:lncRNA from 1 species
CUCUCUCUCUCUCUCCUGCUGCAUUGUGAAGAAACUGCUUGCUUCCCUCUCACCCUCUGCAGUUUCCUGAGGCCUCCCCAGCCAUGCGGAACGGCCAGAUGCAGUGCCUCAUGCCUGUAAUCCCAGCACUUUGGGAGGCUGAGGGAGGAUUGCUUGAGCCUGCUUCCAUAUCGUAAACUGCCUUGGAACCAAUUACCACUACCAGGGAGACAAACUAUUGCUUAGAGGAUGCUGACAGGAGCAGCAUGCCAAAAUUGGAAGAAAACCUUCCACUGGCCACUCAGCGAAAGGCAGCUGAUUCAGCACCUGGAGAAGACCGGCAACAGGGCUGAGUUUCCUUGCACUGCAGAGGAGGGGAGAGGCAAGGAGUGGACAUGAGCACGGAGGAUCCAGGGCACUCCCUUGAUGGUGAUGCCCUCGAAGGGCUGCCCCGUGCCCAUUGUACAGAAUGUGGAUUCCACCCCACGCCAUGAGAGCUCUCGCGCAGGCCCAGACCACUUUAUAAGCCAUAUUUCCCACCAAUUCCUGUUUCUGGAUCUGUCAGGUUAUUUCAUAUUUCUAGGCCCUUAGCUUUGCUUCCUCUUCCCUGAACGCCCUUUGCCCACAUCAUCCCAGCUCUCCUUCUCCUCCUGCCUUCUGUCUUCUCUUCCUCUCAUUUCUUGUCACCCAGGCUGGAGUCCAGUGGCGUGAUCACGGCUCACUACAGCCUUGAACUCCCGGGCUCAGGUGAUCCUCCCACCUGAGCCUCCCGAGUAGCUGGGACUACAGAUGCACACCACCAUGCCAGCUAAUUUUUAAAACUGUUUUUAGGGAUGGGGUCAUCUUCCUGUGUUGCCCAGGCUUGUCUCAAACUCCUGGGCUCAAGUGAUCCUCUCACCUCAGCCUUCCAAAGUGCUGGGAUUACAGGCAUGAGCCACAACAUCCAGCCCCUUUUCUCUUUUCUUACCCUUCUUUCCUAUUUUCUUUUCCAUUUUCUUUCCCUCCCUUCUUCUUUCUUUCCUAACUAUUAAGGAGUAGAUUGAAUUCAAGGUCUUUAUGUGUGUCAGUUUUUGUUUUCCAACAAAUAUUUCUUAAAAACCAACCAUUGAAACGUAAUGGUAACCACUGGCCCCUGUCUCCACCUCCACACCUAAGAAGCCCCAAAUCCAGAUGUGUCCAUUAAAAUCAGUCCAGAUCUUCUUUACC